GCCUUGAUCAUGCAACUCCUGGUGUAAGUUUUGUUUUCUGGAUUUGUAUGACUUCUGAUUCUAUGAACUCAAUUAUUCAAACAAUUUGGAUCUUAUAAUACUUUUGCUGUCUGCUGAGCUAGUGGGUCCAUUAUUAUGCAUGGGACUGCAGAUGAGCAGAACUUUUCACACUCCACAAACAUCUCAAUAGCUUAUUUACUAUUGUUUAUCGUGUCUCGAAUUAGGCUUAAGCGUUAUUCAGAGGCUUGUUUCUGAAACAACAAGCCCAAGCAGGCCCAACCCACCCAAGAGUUUGCUUGAAUGGACUUACUUGCUUAAGGCUCAUUUGAUAUGCAUAUGUGCG
rnacentral:misc_RNA from 1 species